rnacentral:rRNA from 1 species
UGAGGAAUAUUGCUCAAUGGGCGAAAGCCUGAAGCAGCAACGCCGCGUGCGCGAUGAAGGUCUUCGGACCGUAAAGCGCUUUUGAGAGGGACGAGAUAGGACGGUACCUCUUGAAUAAGUCACGGCUAACUACGUGCCAGCAGCCGCGGUAAAACGUAGGUGGCAAGCGUUAUCCGGAUUCACUGGGCGUAAAGCGCGUGCAGGCGGCUUCGUAAGUUGGACGUUAAAUCUUUCGGCCUAACCGGGAGGUGUCGUUCAAUACUGCGGGGCUUGAGGGUAGAAGAGGGGGGUGGAAUUGCCGGUGUAGUGGUGAAAUGCGUAGAUAUCGGCAGGAACACCUGUGGCGAAAGCGGCCCCCUGGUCUGCUCCUGACACUCAGACGCGAAAGCUAGGGGAGUGAACG